CCCGACGGGAGGGGCGGCCCCUGGGGAGGGGGCUGCGGCCAGCCGGCCCCUGCCGGUCCCGCCCGGAGUGGGAGGGGGCUGCGGCCGCGGGGGCGGGGCGAGUGACGUCACGCCCAGCCGCGCCCCCGCCGGUGCCCAGGCCGGUGCCCAGGCCGGUGCGGAGCCGCGAGGCUCCGCGGGCGGGACCUGAUCUGGGACCAGCCGUGUGGUCCCUGCACCCCCACCGCUCCCCAUCCCGGCGGCCCCGAUCGGAAACAUGUCAACGCCCGGAAACAUGCCAACGCCCCGAAACAUGUCACCGCGGACGGCCAAGACCAGGACCUGGCCAUUCAUCUCUGCUUUACUCUCGGGGAAGCAACUCCUACUGGAAGAGCUUUGUGGUAUGAACCGCAGUGUCACUCAGGACUAGAACUGAAAGGAAACUGUUCCCUUUCUGCCAUCAGGAGACACCUAAGGCCACCCAGCAAACACUCCACUCCCUCAGGCUUUCUCAGGUCCACAGGCUUCUGCAGUUAAUACCUUCAAAACGCCCAGAUUUUUCCCUUUUAAGUGAAGGAGCCCUGCAGUGAACACACAGGUGUGUGAGCGUGUGUUGAAUCUUAUCGUGAAUGUGUGUAGAAUCUUAUCACGAAUGCCGCAGUUUAUCCUCAGAGCCCCUGUGGUGGGAUUAUCUCCUCCCUGUUCUCUCCCAGAACAGACAAGAUGGAGGGGCUCCACCCCCUGAGCUUGGGUUGGGGAAGGGCGUGGAAGGGAGGGCCCAGUCCCUCACAGAAAUGACUCAAAGGUCCAGGCUGCCCAGGGGAUGGGCAGAGCUGUCCCUCCUGGUGCAUGUUGAGGGAGGCACAGUUUAGUAAGAAAGUGAGGUAUUCAGCAUCUCCCCACAAUUGGCUGGCAUUUCAUUCAAGCUCUAAGCUUCAACAGCCUUGAGAAAACCAUCAAACAAGAAAAGCCUGGUGGGGGGAGGACAUGUACGGGAGUAGGGGGGGGGGCGCAAUGGUAAGAUAUGUACACAUAUAAUACCUUAAUAAGAAAAGAGAAGAAAAGAAAAGAAAAGAGAAAAGAAAAGGGGCAAACUGAGCCCUCACCUCAUGCUGUAAUUGUGGGUGCAAGGGAUGGGUUUAUUGAGCUCCUGCUCUGUUGUCGUAGGAGUAAUUCCUACAAUAGCCACACUAUCCUAAGCACUUCCAGUGUGCUACUCGUUGUACACACAUGCACCUUUCCUUUGUCACAGCAACCUUAGGACACACUGCCAUCGCCCUCCUCUCUUGCAGAUGAGAGUACAGAGAGGCUGAGCUACUUGCCCAGGCUCACGUAGCUAGUCAGGAUUGACCCAGGAAUGGAGAUCAGAUAAAGGAUGGAUGAUAAAGACAAUGACCAACCACACUUGAGCUCCAGGAACAGAGAGGGAACACAUAACCCAGCAGGUGCUGGGGUACAUGUCCUGACUUCAGAAGGUCUUUAGGAAUCAGUUUGAAAGCAGUGGCAUGGAGCCCCCAAGAUGCUGUAAGAAGAAAAGCUCUUUGGGGAAGAAAUCAGGAGUUCCUGGUUGACAACAGAGCUGGCUCAGGGCCACAUGGGGUCAGGGCUCAACAGACAAAGACUGAUGGUCACACUCACCUAUUCCCUGGUGCUUCAGAAUGUGCCGACCAUGGGACCACGUCAGUGAGCUGAGACAUAAUGAGAAGGCAUGUUAUUAGUGUUCACAUGGCGAUAGCUGAAUCCCCAGCCUCCUAGACUGGGACUCAUGUAACUCAUUGCAGAGCCCCUCGCUCCCACUGUUCCAGGUUCCUGACCUAGAAAUAAAUCUGAGUCCGGCUGUCAGAGUCCAUCAGAAGCCCCCUCCCCACAGGACCCCAGCCUCCGUAGGAGACACAAGGAUAUGUACCCAAGGGAUAUGGAUGGAUAUGUACCCAAGUCAUCUUCAAUGCCAUGGGAAUCCAGACUCUCAAAAAAAAAAAAAAAAAGAAAGAAAGAAAGAAAGAAAGAAAGAAAGAAAGAAAAGGUCCCAGCCCCUUAGAGCUCAUCUUCCUGGCAUUGAACUUGAGGAGUUUACGGAGCAGCAGAGAAGACACUGAAGUUCACAAACCCUUCACACUCCUUGAGCUCCCCUAGGGCCAGUUCAUUCAACAAGGUCACCAGACACACCUGUCCUUUUCUGCAUCCUUUGCUGGCGGUCCCUCCUCGUUUGAUGGAGCUCGCUGCAUCACUUGAGUUCCGCAACCACUAGGGUUCUCCCCUGGGCCGCAUUGGCGGAGAACCUACCCUGUGUCAGGUGCCGUGCUGGGAGCUGGGGUUGCAGUGACCAGUAGUAAACUGCCCUCGUGAGCUCAAAUCUCGAUUCCCACAUCCCUGAAGUCUCCCCGGGAGCUAGCUCAGAGGGGAAAGACAGGCCUGCUGCCUUGCUGCCCACAGAGGAAUCUGAUGGAGUGGGGGAGAGGAGCGUUGUGGAUGGCCAGCCCAAGGAGAGGGCCACCCAAGCACCCUCUUCUAGCAGCCCUGCCCUUUGGGCAGACACACCACGCCUGGGUGUCCUCCUCCUCAGAAUGCUCUCUAGUGGAGACCCUCACUAGCCUUUCUCCGUUCCCUCCUUGCCCCGCCCAACACGAAAUGGUGCAAGAACCCGACUGUGCCCUCCACAAGGGCAGAGCUCAUUCCAUUUUGGCGCAUCACUGGGUCCAGUGGUGUGCUGGUAAAUGUUUAACAAUCAGUGUGUUGAAAAAAAAAAAAAAUAGGAAAGCCCUGAUUCACAGCCUUUGACAAUUUCCAGGGUGUAAAUAUUCCCACCGUGGCCGAUUCCAAGCUACCAACAUGCAUGCCUGGACGUGGAGUUGGAAAGAGCUGGGCCCCAUUAGAGUGCAUUUCUGCUCUCCAGACAGUAGCCCGGGGGACAGCGCACAGUGGCGGGAGGGCCGGAUUCAGCUCCCGGCCUGCGGAGCCUGAAACACUUACUCUCUGGCCCUUGUACAGGAAAAGCUUGGCGACCCCUGCAAUAGACAUAAAUAACCUCCAGAACAGAGAUACUAGUAAAACAUAGAAGAAUAAUUAGGAAGUGAUGCGUUUUAUUACCUUUUAAAAAAUAUAAUUUAUUUCGUGGUAACCGUAAUUUACUCCUGUUUAAUGGCUCUUUGACAAGCAGCUUGCAAGCUUCCUGAAGAAGGAACAGUCGGCUCUCAUGAGCCAGUCGAGGUUAGUUAGCUCCAGCAUGCCACUACCUGUUUCCCUGAGGCCUGGCCCCGGGUCGGUGUACAGUGCUUAUCUGCUGAAAUCUAACUGCAAUGCCAAUGGUCUAAGCACUAGGCUACACUGCCCUGACCCUUCAGUUUGCCAUUCUAUUCCAUUACACACCUUUUUUGCACCUGCUGAGUGCAGGACUUCGUUGAGUGUUACAGAUCCAGAUGACACAACAUCUUCUCCCCUUGGAGCUCAGGAUUGAGUGUGGGGGGGGGGGGGGGGCGGCGGGGACCAGACACCCUCUCCCCACAAAAAUCAUCGCUCUCCACCACCCCCACACACACACACACAAAAAGCAUGCCAAGAAGAAAAUAGCCUCUUCCCUUUCCCAACUGUGUAUAUCUUCGCUUGGUUUCCUAUAAAGGGGGGUCCUAGCGGUGCCUUUUUCCAGAGUUGAAGACAUUGAGGUAAUCGAUGCCAAGCCCACAGCCUGGCCCAGAGCGAGCACUUGGAAUAAGCUUCUGCUGCUUCGCGUCACCUCGGUCAUUUUAGAACCCAUGUUUAUGCGGCCUUGGGUAUGGGCCCUCCAGCCAGCCCAUUUCCCUGGCUUUUCCCAUUGCCCAGCAGCUGGCGUGCAGACACUCCCGAUCAACAUCUGGACAGGGCUUCCAACCUUCAUGCUACUGACAUUUGCCGCUAGGUAAUUCUUGGUGGCAGGCAGCUGACCUGGGCAUUAAAGGACAUUUAGCAGCGUCCCGGCACUGCCCACAGAUACGAGUGCCAUCCCUGAUUUGUGAUGACAAAAUUGUCCCAUAAUUUGCCACCUGUCACCUGGGAGGCCAGACCGUUGCUGGUUAGACACCGGGUUUGAAGGAAGAUGUUUCCCCGCCCUCAGUGGGUCCAGGCUGCUCCCAGCCAUCCUGUGGGCUGCAGUCUGGGGGAGAUGAUAUUGCUCACACUCAUGCAACAGCUUGUUCCUCCUCAGACGCCACUUCUGAGUGUGACAAAGCACACUCACCGCCGGCUUCAUCAGAUUGUCCAGGAGCACGGGGACACGCAGGAUGGAAUCAGAUACAACCUCCUUUAAGUCCUGUUUUUGGAGCCUUCUUAACAAAAGGCCACACUUGUUAUAAAAUGCCAAGCACCAAAAGCAGGCAUUGUUUGUUCUCAAGUGGUCCCCAUUUCCCAGCUACUCAUGGAGCUAUUAUUGCUUUGGGGGAACUCCAUCUGAAAACUCAGUCUCAGAAUGACAUCAGCUAGGAGAUCGUUCCCGAACCUCACGUUUACCAGGCAUGAGACACCACCAUAACGGAACACACACUCUGUACUAAUGGCAUCUGAUGUGCUGGUCAUGUCAUAAAAUGUGCUCCUCUAUAAAGAGAGAAGUUAUGUUUUUAUCCUAAA